rnacentral:rRNA from 1 species
UACGUAGGCAGCGAGCGUUGUUCGGAAUUACUGGGCGUAAAGAGUGUGUAGGCGGUGCUCUAAGUUCGGUGUGAAAUCUCCCGGCUUAACUGGGAGGGUGCGCCGGAAACUGGAGUGCUCGAGCGUGGGAGAGGAAAGCGGAAUUCCUGGUGUAGCGGUGAAAUGCGUAGAUAUCGGAAGGAACACCUGUGGCGAAAGCGGCUCACUGGACCAUAACUGACGCUGAGGCACGAAAGCUAGGGGAGCAAACAGG